rnacentral:tRNA from 1 species
GCGGAUGUGGCCUAGUGGUUGGGCGACUGCUUUCCACGCAGUUCAGCCGGGUUCGAUUCCUGGUAUCCGCUCCA